CCUUGAUGGCCACCUCCAACCCACCGUUUCUUUUCAUAUAUCCACCAUUGCACUCCCUACGAACACAUCCAAGUCCAGACCAAACUUAACCACACAGCCAUGUAGCAUCAUGCGAACAUCCUCCGAAUCCUCGAGCUCAGAGCAAGCCUUCAGGAUCCCACCCAGAGCGAAAGCAUCCAGCUUCACCCUGACCGGUGCAUCCAGAUGAGCACAUUCACCGCCACCUCUGGCCAGCCCAUCCGCACAUAGCCGACAGCAGCAGGUUCCACGAAACCUCUUCCCGCUGCAGUGUUCCAUGAUAAGCCACGAGCCCUGGCUGGAGUAACCUGCGAUGAGCGUGUUCCAUGAGACAUUCCGUCGAACAGGAGGUGCGCAUGCCGCAUGUCGCCGCAGCAGGAAUAGGCUGCGAGCAGGUUGUUACACAAGAACAUGCCCAGCGGCAGCCAGCUCGGAGCACGUGGGAGUGUGCUAGCCUGGCCAACACCAACGACCGGGUCUGCGAGGCACGUCGGAGGAGGCCGCUGUAGACCGACGGCUCAAGGGACGGCAGCUGGAGGCGACGGCUUGCACGGCGCGGCAAACGUGGGCGCCGUCCUCGGCCGCCGCGAUGGUGCAGGAGAGGUGCCUAAGGAGGCAAAUGGCCGGUGGAGCCGGAGCUGAAAGGAAAAGCCGGUUUCUUGGAGCCGAGGCCGAGGGGGGAGGUCGGAGGAGCUCGACGACCAAGACUGUGAAGAACAAACUGCGCGGGUAAGGUUAGGACGUGGUGAGAAAAAUAAUUUGUUUUUGACAAAAACGCUCUUCAACAUGCGAUUUUUAUGGGUCUCUACCCUUCCCCCCUCCCACCUCCCUUAGCCCCGACAGGUGAAUCCGGUGUGAGAGGUACGGUGGGCUCGAUUCGGGUGAGAAAUUUUUUUAAUUAUUUUCGAUCUUUAUAAUAUAUAAAUUCAAAGAUCAAGCUGACACAAGACAGCAAGCGUCUUGGUUUCUUCCUUGUUUCGUACAGGCUCAUGCUGGUGCCACAACAACAGACGCAGAAAUCUCUAUAUAUUAUAUAUUAUAUCUAUCAUAUUUCUUAUUUAUGUAUACCACUUCUUGCUCCUCAGCUGGCCACGUCACCCACCAGCAGCUACCGUCGGAUCGCCGAGCCAUUGGCUGUGAUUGGUUGGAGCUGCUUCCCCAUGUAGCGGCUUCCCAUGGUCAUUGUUGCCCUCCAGACUUCCUAAAAAGUCAGCUGCUCCUUGAUGAAAAGUGUGACAGCAAGGUGCCACCAUCAAAUCAUCUCUGCAAGAUAUCAUUUCAAGAAUAGUCUGUUCACGUGUGAAACAUUAGGUUCUGUGAUCUGUUCACUCUUUAUCCUUUAUUUAAUACAUAAUAGUUCAAAAAAAUGUAAUUGGGAGUUUCAA